rnacentral:rRNA from 1 species
CCUGAGAAACCCAAAAGAUCGAUCGGGGAGAUUCAUCGUCAGCGACACUGGUAAGAGCGCGGUCCGUGAUGCUGCGGGGCUCAGGCCUCGAGGCACGCGUCCGCGCCUGCUGGGCGCCGCCGGCGUGCACUUCUCCCCUAGUAGGACGUCGCGACCCGUUGGGUGUCAGUCUACGACACGAGUGGUAGCCUGUCGUGUGUCAGUUUCGUGCCGACAUGCGGCAGACCCUCGGAUGUCCGACCGGCUGCCCGGCGGUACUCGCACGGUAUCGGGCCGCAAACAUUCGAACUGCGUCCGGCCCGCCGCAAGCGAGGUCAGUGUUACCCGGAUGUACGGACCUAGCGCCGUCACCGGGCCUGGCCAGCUGUUGGUUCGGCGGUGUCCUGGGACUGGCUCACAAAGUUAUGAUACCGGUCGGCGACGCUACUGCUUUGGGUACUUUCAGGACCCGUCUUGAAACACGGACCAAGGAGUCUAACAUGUGCGCGAGUCAUUGGGAGCUAUUGAAGCCUAAAGGCGCAAUGAAAGUGAAGGUCGGCCCUGCGCCGACCGAGGGAGGAUGGGCCGCGUCACGAUGCGGCCCCGCACUCCCGGGGCGUCUCGUUCUCAUUGCGAGAAGAGGCGCACCCAGAGCGUACACGUUGGGACCCGAA